GUUUUGGCCAGGCGCGGUGGCUCAAGCCUGUAAUCCCAGCACUUUGGGAGGCCGAGACGGGCGGAUCACGAGGUCAGGAGAUUGAGACCAUCCUGGCUAACACUGUGAAACCCCGUCUCUACUAAAAAAUACAAAAAACUAGCUGGGCGAGGUGGCGGGCGCCUGUAGUCCCAGCUACUCGGGAGGCUGAGGCAGGAGAAUGGCGUAAACCUGGGAGGCGGAGCUUGCAGUGAGCUGAGAUCCGGCCACUGCACUCCAGCCUGGGCCACAGAACGAGACUCUGUCUCAAAAAAAAAAAAAAAAAGAGAUGGAGUUUUGCUGUUAUCGCCCAGGCUGGAGUGAAAUGGCGCAAUCUCAGCUCACUCCAACCCCUGCCUUCCAGGUUCAAGUGAUUCUCCUGCCUCAGCCUCCCAAGUAGCUGAGAUUACUAAAGGCAUGCGCCACUACACCCAGCAAAUUUUUGUAUUUUUUUAGUAGAAAUGGGGUUUCACCAUAUUAGCCAGGCUGGUCUGGAACUCCAGACCUCAGGUGAUUCACCUGCCUUGACCUCCCAAAGUGGUGGUGUUACAGGCGUGAGCCAUCACACGUGGCCCUGUGCCCUUAAUUUAUAGUCUCCCACAGCCAGAACUCUGGGGUUGAGGUGGGUGAUGGACAUGGAGCGGAAGAACAGGGCAGGUGAGUGUUAGCAUGAAGUUGACAGGCAAGAAAGAGGGAGUUUAGGCAUUGGUUGGGAAAAGCCAAGGGAGAUGAAGAAGCUGUGUGCCCUGGCUGGAGCCUGCUCCUUUCCCUUGUGCUGCAUCUCUCCACUACAGGCUGGUACAGAAGGCAGAGCUGGUACGGCUGUCCCAGACACUGAGCCUGGUGCCCCGGCUGCAUUGGCUGCUGGUGGAGGAUGCUGAGAGUCCCACCCCGCUGGUCUCAGGGCUGCUGGCUGCCUCUGGUCUCCUCUUCACACACCUGGUGGUCCUCACACCCAAAGCGCAGCGGCUUAGGGAGGGCGAGCCUGGCUGGGUUCAUCCCCGUGGUGUUGAGCAGCGGAACAAGGCCCUGGACUGGCUCCGGGGCAGAGGAGGUGCUGUGGGUGGGGAGAAGGACCCACCACCACCAGGGACCCAAGGAGUCGUGUACUUUGCUGACGAUGACAACACCUACAGCCGGGAGCUGUUUGAGGAGAUGCGCUGGACCCGUGGUGUCUCAGUGUGGCCUGUGGGGCUGGUGGGCGGCCUGCGAUUUGAGGGCCCUCAGGUACAGGACGGCCGGGUAGUAGGCUUCCACACAGCAUGGGAGCCCAACAGGCCCUUCCCUGUGGAUAUGGCUGGAUUUGCUGUGGCCCUGCCCUUGCUGUUAGCUAAGCCCAAUGCCCAGUUUGAUUCCACUGCUCCCCGGGGCCACCUGGAGAGCAGUCUUCUGAGCCACCUUGUGGAUCCCAAGGACCUGGAGCCACGGGCUGCCAACUGCACUCGGGUAAGGGAAUGGAGGUGGGCAUAGAAACCUGGCUCUGGGACGGACAGGUGGUGGGGGAGGUGCAGUGAGACCCUGGGAAUGGGUAGUUUAAUCAGGAGGGCCUCUCCAGAUUUCCGAUCAGCCUUGCUGAUUCUACUGAAGGGGAAGCUGGGAACCAGCGUGGGAAAGUGGUCCCUGUCACUCUGCCCCGAGUUCUGGAAACCCAUGUGGUACAGAGAGGAUAAAGGAAUAAGGCCCCGUUUUUUUUUUGUUUGUUUGUUUUUUUGAGACGGUGUCUUGCUCUGUUGCCCAGGCUGGAGUGCAGUGGCACAAUCUCGGCUCACUGCAAGCUCCGCCUUCCGGGUUCACGCCAUUCUCCUGCCUCAGGCGCCGGCCACCACGCCCGGCUAAUUUUUUGUGUUUUUAGUGGUGACGGGGUUUCACGGUGUUAGCCAGGGUGGUUUUGAUCUCCUGACCUUGUGAUCCGCCCACCUCGCCCUCCCAAAAGUGUUGGGAUCGCUGGCCGGGCGCGGUGGCUCAAGCCUGUAAUCCCAGCACUUUGGGAGGCCGAGACGGGCGGAUC
ensembl:lncRNA